GAUGAACGCUGGCGGCGUGCCUAAUACAUGCAAGUCGAGCGAACAGACGAGGAGCUUGCUCCUCUGACGUUAGCGGCGGACGGGUGAGUAACACGUGGAUAACCUACCUAUAAGACUGGGAUAACUUCGGGAAACCGGAGCUAAUACCGGAUAAUAUAUUGAACCGCAUGGUUCAAUAGUGAAAGACGGCUUUGCUGUCACUUAUAGAUGGAUCCGCGCCGCAUUAGCUAGUUGGUAAGGUAACGGCUUACCAAGGCGACGAUGCGUAGCCGACCUGAGAGGGUGAUCGGCCACAUUGGAACUGAGACACGGUCCAGACUCCUACGGGAGGCAGCAGUAGGGAAUCUUCCGCAAUGGGCGAAAGCCUGACGGAGCAACGCCGCGUGAGUGAUGAAGGUCUUCGGAUCGUAAAACUCUGUUAUUGGGGAAGAACAAAUGUGUAAGUAACUAUGCACGUCUUGACGGUACCUAAUCAGAAAGCCACGGCUAACUACGUG
rnacentral:rRNA from 1 species